AGAUUGAACGCUGGCGGCAUGCCUAACACAUGCAAGUCGAACGGGAGUAGCAAUACUCUAGUGGCGGACGGGUGAGGAAUACGUAGGAAUUUGCCCUUAAGUGGGGGAUAACCCGGGGAAACCCGGAUUAAUACCGCAUGACCUCGAAAGAGCAAAGUGGGGGAUCGCAAGACCUCACGCUUUUGGAGAAGCCUACGUCGGAUUAGCUAGUUGGUGAGGUAAUGGCUCACCAAGGCGACGAUCCGUAACUGGUCUGAGAGGAUGAUCAGUCACACCGGAACUGAGACACGGUCCGGACUCCUACGGGAGGCAGCAGUGGGGAAUAUUGGACAAGUGGCGCAAGCCUGAUCAGCAA
rnacentral:rRNA from 1 species